CAGUCGCCGCGGUAAUACGUAGGUGGCAAGCGUUAUCCGGAAUUAUUGGGCGUAAAGCGCGCGCAGGCGGUUUCUUAAGUCUGAUGUGAAAGCCCACGGCUCAACCGUGGAGGGUCAUUGGAAACUGGGGAACUUGAGUGCAGAAGAGAAAAGCGGAAUUCCACGUGUAGCGGUGAAAUGCGUAGAGAUGUGGAGGAACACCAGUGGCGAAGGCGGCUUUUUGGUCUGUAACUGACGCUGAGGCGCGAAAGCGUGGGGAGCAAACAGGAUUAGAUACCCGCGUAGUCCCUGUCUCUUAUAC
rnacentral:rRNA from 1 species